rnacentral:rRNA from 1 species
UAAUCACCUGUCUUUUAAUUGAAGACCUGUAUGAAUGGCAUCACGAAGGUUUAACUGUCUCCCCUCUCCCAUCUAUGAAAUUGAUCUCUUCGUGCAGAAGCGAAGAUUAUACUAUAAGACGAGAAGACCCUGUGGAGCUUUAGGUAAUCCUAGUGUAUACACUAUUAUUUACUAGGAUUUUACCUUUGGUUGGGGCGACCAUGAUGAAAAGCAAAACCCUCAUAAGGAAUGAACUAACUAGAUAUGAAUGACAGUUCUAAUCUUCAGAACUUCUGACCUCCUAGACCCAGUAUAACUGAUCAAUGAACCAAGUUACCCCAGGGAUAACAGCGCAAUUCUCUUUAAGAGCCCC